rnacentral:lncRNA from 1 species
CAUUGCGGGUCUAGCGGAUAUCCAUGUGGGUAUCCGUCGGAUAUUAAGCUAAUACCAAACUCACCCGCAUCCAAGUGCGAGUUUCAUUUUGUAAUUCCAAACAUGCCUGCAUCCCGCAAAAUUAUCCACAGUGGACGGAUUUUGGCGGACAGAUUUGGACAGGUUUGCGGACACAAUUGCUAUCCUUAUGCCCCACCAGUGUACCUUGAGACUUCAAUGUGUUUUGCACCCAUGAUUACAACCAAUUUCAAGUAAUGGUUGGAUAAAAUUGGUGAUUAAUGGACAAAACUUUUCACCCAUCCCCAAAAAAAAAAAAAGGUUAUUUUGAGCUACAAACUUUGAUUUAGUUCAUUUGAAGUAUAUCUUUAUCAAUUAAGAGGUAAGUAGGUGCUUACCAACGACCAUAUCCCUUUUGAACUUACAAAAAAAAAAAACACCGUUUA